GGAGUGCCACCUGCCCCGUCAGUUGCAUCCGCCUCAGAGAUUCAGCGACAGUUUGGUGGAGUUCCGUCUGCUACUGCCGUAUCUGCGGUGUGUGUGAUUUGUGGAGGAUCCCACCAGGCGCGGCGGUGUGCGCUGCGAAAGGGAAGGUGUUUUCAUUGCGGGCAGUCUGGCCACUUGAGACAUGGUUGCCCCUUGGGCGAUGGACAACUCCCGCCGACAGCGUCGACAUUCACCUCUUCGGGACAGAUGGUGGAUGUGCAGCCUGUGGCACAGUCUGGAGGGCUGGGGGUGGUCGAGCAGCCGGAGGAUUCACAGGAGGCGCCAAGCGGCCCUGGAUACGCGGCUCACGUCGAGGAACCUGCUGCUGUUGGUGAUGUUACCGUAGGUAUGAUUUAAUUAAAGCAAUCAUACGUUCGAGCAUGAAGUAGUUUGAGCAAUUGUAUGCAUUUGCUUGUGAUCUUUUACUAUUAUUUACAUAUUGGUAUAGUAGAGACCAGGACGCAGGUCAGAGGAGUCACCCAGCAUGCAUAAGUCGUGGUGGUAUGUCGCCUACCUAAAGAAAUUGGUGAUUGGUCGGUGCCGGCAAGCUGCUGGUGACGAACCAGGAGCGAGACUCCCUUUGGGGAUCUAUGCGUUGUAGAGUGAGGAAGGGCACACCUAGCCGUACGCUGCUUGUAAACAGUCGGCAAACGUGUGGUGGAAAGGCAUUCGACGGAACUGAUUGCCUGGUAUCCCUCCUAUGGUCUGGGAUAAGUUUGGGAAUUGGUAUUCUCCGUUCACUUCCCCGACGGUGAGCGAGGAAGCUUCAGAAGGGUUUCCGAAGUUGUGGCAGGUAAACAGCACCGUGAGGCGAUACGAGCGGGAAUUCUCCCGUGUCGUGCGUUGCGUCCCGAACGUAGCGCGGGAUGACAAGGACAUGGCCGACUGCCUUGUGCGUGGACUUCGGCCAGACCUUUGCAAGACUGUGCUUGCACAUAAGUUGCAGACUUUCGCCGACGUCCGGGAUCGGGCCUUGUGGAUAGAACAAGGUGAGGAAUCCCUACGGGAGGAGCGCGAGGCAUACUACAAGGAAAGGGGAAAGGACAGCCAGUGAGUGGACAUGAUGGUCAGUCAAGUUCCCAACGAACUUCGAUAAGUUCGCGCUCGCGAUCCCGAGCUCCGGGGACUUACCACAUUCGGUCCUCGGCGAGAUGUGUUAUUUGUGGGGGCCCUCAUUGCCCACAACAGUGUGAACAGCGUGAGGGCAAGUGCUUCAGGUGUGGGCUGCCGGGCCAUGUGCGGGACGAGUGUCCGCAAAGGCGAUAGCCGGGCCUUGACGCUAACGACGGCCUAUCCCUCUCUGGGACAGCCUGCAGGUGUGCCACCUGCGGCAUGGUCGGGAGAGCAGCCGUUGAGGACGUUGCAAUCAGAGGGUUCGCGACGAGCGCCAAGUGGCCAUGGAUAAGCGACCCGAGUUGCGGUGCCUGCUGUUGUCGACGUCGUCGUAGCAGGUAUGAAUUAAUUGAGCAAGCAUAUUUUUGCAUGAUCCCAAGUUGUUGCAUAGCAUGCAUUCAUCGUUGGUCAGUUACUACUAUUACUACAUUACAUAGUAGGGACCGAGUGGUCGGGUAAGUAGGUACCCGAGCAUGCUAGCAGGAUGAGAGUAUGGCGCCUGCUGGGGCAGGUAGAGAGCCAUUGGGCACUAGCAAAUGGCUAGUGGUGAUUUUGGAUAAGAAACGAGGCUCGUAAUGGAAGUCGAAAAUGUAAGAGAACUCUCGAUGCAAUAGAUUAGAGAUUGCGAGAGUUGAGCCUUGAUGUUUGGGGACACCCGGAUAUCCCAAGAGUAUUUCGGAGGUGGAUUCGAUAGAUCGGACAAUGGUGAUGAACCACUGUUGCGAAAUUGGUUGAUUAGCGCCGAACUUGGCCUGUGGGCCUAGUAGUACCUCGAACUGAGGUGGACGAGUUGUUGCUCGUGUGGCCGGCGUGCAUAGGCUAAGCUGCCUGAUGCUAGACUUCGUGCGAGACGCUGUAGAGACGUAGAGCGCUCGAGUAUAAAUACUCGUGGAGUGCGGUUUCGGUUCAGCCGGUCGAGUGAGUUGGCAGUAGCACUUCGGCAGGGCUAAGUGUGAAGCGGGCCAUGGAUCACUCGUGAAAGCUGGUGGCUCGCACUAGGUGCCUAGGAGCCGGUAGAGUGC
rnacentral:lncRNA from 1 species